GACGGAGGGGGCUAGCGUUAUUCGGAAUUACUGGGCGUAAAGAGUGCGUAGGCGGUUUAGUAAGUUGGACGUGAAAGCCCGAGGCUUAACCUCGGAACUGCUUUCAAAACUACUAAUCUAGAGUGUAGUAGGGGAUGAUGGAAUUCCUAGUGUAGAGGUGAAAUUCUUAGAUAUUAGGAGGAACACCGGUGGCGAAGGCGGUCAUCUGGGCUACAACUGACGCUGAUGCACGAAAGCGUGGGGAGCAAACAGG
rnacentral:rRNA from 1 species